rnacentral:sRNA from 1 species
AUUCCAUGGCGACGAGCUUCUGCCGGUCCGGAAAAGACCACGGGCUUGCCUUCCAGGAUGUAGGAACCGGAAGAC